GAGGGUAUAGCCCAAGUGGUAGAGCACUUGCUUAGCAUGCAUGAGGUCCUGGGUUCAAUCCCCAGUACGUCCU
rfam:Camelus ferus unplaced genomic scaffold scaffold1866, whole genome shotgun sequence.